GGGGAAUUUUCCGCAAUGGGCGAAAGCCUGACGGAGCAAUACCGCGUGAGGGAUGAAGGCUCUUGGGUCGUAAACCUCUUUUCUCAAGGAAGAUAAUGACGGUACUUGAGGAAUCAGCAUCGGCUAACUCCGUGCCAGCAGCCGCGGUAAUACGGAGGAUGCAAGCGUUAUCCGGAAUGAUUGGGCGUAAAGCGUCCGCAGGUGGUUUUGUAAGUCUGCUGUCAAAGCGUCAUGCUUAACAUGAUAUAGGCAGUGGAAACUACGGGACUAGAGUGCGUUAGGGGUGAAGGGAAUUCCUGGUGUAGCGGUGAAAUGCGUAGAGAUCAGGAAGAACACCGGUGGCGAAGGCGCUUCACUAUGCCGCAACUGACACUGAGGGACGAAAGCUAGGGGAGCGAAUGGGAUUAGAUACCCCAGUAGUCCUAGCCGUAAACGAUGGACACUAGGUGUUGCUUGUAUCGACCCGAGCAGUGCCGUAGCCAACGCGUUAAGUGUCCCGCCUGGGGAGCACGCACGCAAGUGUGAAACUCAAAGGAAUUGACGGGGGCCCGCACAAGCGGUGGAGUAUGUGGUUUAAUUCGAUGCAACGCGAAGAACCUUACCAAGGCUUGACAUGUCGCGAAUCUCUUUGAAAGGAGAGAGUGCCUUCGGGAGCGCGAACACAGGUGCUGCAUGGCUGUCGUCAGCUCGUGUCGUGAGAUGUUGGGUUAAGUCCCGCAACGAGCGCAACCCUCGUUUUUAGUUGCCAUCAUUAAGUUGGGCACUCUAGAGAGACUGCCGGUGACAAACCGGAGGAAGGUGAGGAUGACGUCAAGUCAGCAUGGCCCUUACGCCUUGGGCUACACACGUACUACAAUGCUACAGACAGAGGGCAGCAAGCGGGCGACCGCAAGCAAAUCUCGUAAACUGUGGCUCAGUUCAGAUCGUAGGCUGCAACUCGCCUACGUGAAGGAGGAAUCGCUAGUAAUUGCAGGUCAGCAUACUGCAGUGAAUUCGUUCCCGGGCCUUGUACACACCGCCCGUCACACCAUGGGAGUUGGUUACGCCCGAAGUCGUUACUCUAACUGUUCGCAGGGGGGGACGCCGAAGGUAGAACUGAUGACUGGGGUGAAGUCGUAACAAGGUAGCCGUACCGGAAGGUGUGGCUGGAUCACCUCCUUUUUAGGGAGACCUAUCCCACUUAUAGACUUAAUUAGUUAGUAAUUACUAAUUAGUUGAUAAAAGUCGUAAUUGAGGUCAAACCUAGGUCGUGCGAGGAUUGGUAAAGCUUUUAAACUAUUAGAUGGUUCGGAUAUUUAUUCCGAAGUUAAACUAGAAUAUGGUGAUAACUUCAGCAACCUGGCUUAUAUGUAAUGUAUAAGUAGGCCUGCUGGAUUUAGUGUCCAGUCAGAACCUUGAAAACUGCAUAGUCACGCAAUUAAUGUAGGUAGUUAACUGUUGUUGGUUAACGGUUGACGGUUGACAGCUAACGGUUUAAACCCGGUGAGCAGUGAACACUCAACAGUGAGCAGUCAACAGUGAACAAAACACAGACACCAAUUUUAACGAGUGUAGUCAAGUUAUUAAGGGCUUGUGGUGGAUACCUAGGCACACAGAG
rnacentral:sRNA from 1 species